CUGCAUACCAGUAGACCCUUCCUGGCUGCCCCAUAGCCACUAAGGGGGGACAGCGUAUGCCAUAGCAA
rnacentral:snoRNA from 11 species